UCUCCCGAAGGGAUGACAAUNNGGAUAGAAUGCGAGCUUGCGGAGCUUGUGAUGCAGGUUCGAUUCCUGCCGGGGGCACCA
rnacentral:tRNA from 1 species